UGAGGAAUCUUCCACAAUGGGCGAAAGCCUGAUGGAGCAACGCCGCGUGCAGGAUGAAGGCCUUAGGGUCGUAAACUGCUUUUAUAAGUGAAGAAUAUGACGGUAACUUAUGAAUAAGCACCGGCUAACUACGUGCCAGCAGCCGCGGUCAUACGUAGGGUGCAAGCAUUAUCCGGAGUGACUGGGCGUAAAGAGUUGCGUAGGUGGUUUGUUAAGUGAAUGGUGAAAUCUGGUGGCUCAACCACACAGACUAUUAUUCAAACUGGCAAACUCGAGAGUAGCAGAGGUAACUGGAAUUUCUAGUGUAGGAGUGAAAUCCGUAGAUAUUAGAAGGAACACCAAUGGCGUAGGCAGGUUACUGGGCUAUUUCUGACACUAAGGCACGAAAGCGUGGGGAGCGAACC
rnacentral:rRNA from 1 species